GAAAAGAAAUUUUACAGCUAAAGUAUAGAUUACAUAAAAAUCUUAUUGCCCAUACAUAAAGUACAGAUUACAUAACACUUGUCUUUCCCAAAUAGAUGACCAUUAUUCAAAAAAAAAUGUCUAACUUUGAUUUGCUCUGCAUCCAUGCAUUUAAUGAAGGCUCCAUCCGUGUUUACCGCCCUGGUCAAAUCAACAUUUCAGUUGUAUCAGAUAAACGGCACCAGGAUUUAAAAUAUGAAGAUUUUUCAUUUCCAUACAUAGUAUAGCUGCUAACUUUAUGUUUCUCUGAAUCACCAUGAUAUUAAAUGGACCGUCAAUCAAAGCAACCGACAAAACAUGACGGGAAAUACACAACAGUCUCCAGUUGAUAGCUACUGAUGUUUUGCUUAGCACAUUGCUCAUGGUUUGUCUCAGUUACUUCACUUUCAGCUUUUUACAUAAUAUAUCAAAAAGACAAACCAAGAAGAGAACUGUGAUAUAGUUUCAUACAAGGAAUAACAAGACUGAAGCAGAGACUGCUAGCGGUGGUACCUAGAAUGAAGACGUGGUAGAAAUAAGUAUUUUUAGAUAAUAUAAUUAUAAUCUCAUGGCUACCAUCAUGUCAAUCUUCCUAUGCUGUUCUUGUGUCCGCUUAUUUUCCUUCUCUUCAUCCCCUGAAUCAUAUUAGGCAUUAUAAUCAGAUCCUUAGUCUAGUAAACUGAAGGUCCGUCGUCCAAUUAUGCGAGGAGCACAGUUUUCUGUAGGCUGAGCUACGUGGUACCCUAUAUCAGGGCCGUUCAGAAUGGACUAUGUUGCAUCGAGAUUUGUGCAGGAGUUUGAAAAUCUGCAACGCUGUCAGAACGAUCAACGCUUAAUACUCUAAACUUGGCCUGGCACAAGUCUUGUCGGCAUCUUUGGCAGGACAAGUUCCUGUAGCACGUGUCAGGUGCCUGUAGCUGAGUUGACUCGGUGCUUGCUCGGUUGCUCACCGCAAGAGUGUCAUGCUACAGAAGAAGAUAAAGAAAAAGUGUGUCUUGCAUACAAAUGUCAGGAGAAAGAGUAUGUCUUGCAUGCAAAUGUCAGGAGAGAUUGUGUGUUUGUGCUGCAGUGCGUCAGUGCUCAUGGAGUAAAGAAAUAGGAGAGAGAGAGAAUCUUGCAUGCAAAUGUCAGUGUAGAGAAAGAAUGUGUUUGUGCUGCAUGCAAAUGUGAGGAGAGGUGUCAGGAGAGAGAGUGCGCGGUUUGUUCUGCAUGCAGGAGAGAGACCGUGCUAAUUACGCUGACAAUGUCAGAAUGUGGGCACAUGAUGCCUUAGGCGCACAGAUCUCAAUGCAAAACAGACGGAUAUGAUAACAGGUACCGUGUAGCUCGAGCUCCAGAGAAACUUUACCAUUAUGCGAGGGGGCAUUCUUGCUCAGUUUGAAUUUGACCUCUUUCUUUUGAUGUUUUCUCCACCCCAAGUUUCUCCUGUAAUCAACUCCGAUCUGACGAGUCACGGGGAACAAACAAUCACAGUGGACAUAGGUACAGGGGCUGGGGCUGGCUCCUCGAAGCCACGGUGGCACAAUAGUUGCCGCUCAUGGACCUCUCGUCAUGGCAU
rnacentral:lncRNA from 1 species